rnacentral:sRNA from 1 species
AUAGUGAUAAAAUCCUACUUCCACUCAGGAAUGGGUAAACUCUGCAACAGGCCACCAUGCACCUGAUGCUCAGCCUUAACUAACUGGCAAACAUCGCAUUCUACGAGCCAAUUAGCUACAUCCAUCUUCAUCCCGACCCACUGAUAGUACCGCUUGAGGUCUCAGUACAUCUUAGUCGCUCCUGGAAUGAAUGGAAAACAUGUUCGCAUGAGCCUCACUCAAGAUCUUCCGUUGCAACUCCUCAUCCUUAGGCACACAAACUUGCCAUGCACAAGGAUAGUCCCAUUAGCUGCGAACUGAUACUCAGAGCCCUCUGCCUUAGAAGCCGCAAUCAACCCCUCAUCCUUCUCCUGAGCCAACCGAACUCUAUUCAGAAGAUCUGCUCGAUUCACAGCUUCCAAUCCCAAUGGCUCUCAUGCCACAGCACACAACCGCAAAACACCAAUCUCACUCACCAAGGCCUCAACACUCUGCCCUGGAGCCGCACCCACGCGCUUACGGCUCAACGCGUCUGCAACCACAUUAGCCUUACCAGGAUGGUAGGCUAUCUCCAGAUCAUAAUCAGCCACCAGCUCCAUCCAUCGCCUUUGCCUCAGGUUCAGCUCUGCCUGAGUGAAGAUAUACUUCAAACUUUUAUGAUCCGUGAACACCUGCACUUUCCCGCCAUAAAGAUAAGACCUCCAAAUCUUUAAGGCAAAGAUUACCGCAGCCAUCUCCAAAUUGUGAGUAGGAUAGCUGCCCUUAUUGUUCCUCAACUGCCGCGAUGCAUAGGCAAUAAACUUCCCACGCUGCAUCAGAACACAACCCAAACCAACUCUUGAGGCAUCAAUAUACACCAUGUAAGGCUCUCCAUGCUCUGGCAAUGCUAACACUGGUAUACUCGUCAACAUCUCCUUCAGGCUCACGAAACCCUCCUCGAACUUCGGUGACCACACAAAAGGAACAUCCUUCCCUGUCAGCUUAGUCAUCGGCUGUGCCAUACUCGCAAACCCCUUGACGAAUCUCCUGUAAUACCCUGCCAACCCAAGAAAACUCCUGAUCUCAGUGGCAUUCGUCGGUCUAGGCCAGUCUCUGAUAGCCUCAAUCUUCUCUGGAUCCAUUGAAACUCCCUCUGCAGAAACAAUGUGACCCAGAAAACCCAUCUCUCUCUGCCAGAAACUGCAUUUGCUCAACUUAGCGAACAACUUCUACUCCCGUAGCUUCUCCAUCACUCUUCUAAGAUGUACCUCAUGCUCCUCGGGACUCUUAGAAUACACCAGAAUGUCAUCAAUAAAGAUGAUCACAAACUCAUCUAAAAACUCCUGGAACACGCUGUUCAUCAACCUCAUGAACGUUGCAGGUGCAUUAGUCAAACUGAAAGGCAUCAUUACUAACUCAAAAUGUCCAUAUCUCGUCCUGAAAGCAGUCAUGCAAACAUCCGCCUCCGCUAUCGGGAUCUAGUGAUAACCCGACGUCAAAUCGAUUUUGGAGAAACAAGUAGCACCCCUCAACUGAUCCAACAACUCAUCGAUCCUUGGUAAAGGGUACUUGUUCUUCACAGUGACCCGGUUCGACCCCCGGUAGUCAAUACAUAAGCGGAAACUCCCGUCCUUCUUCUUCACAAAUAACACCGGCGCUCCCCAAGGUGAAGUACAAGGACGAAUGAAUCCCUUACCCAACAAAUCCUCUAUCUGCUUCUUCAGCUCUACCAUCUCUGCUGGAGCCAUCCUGUAGGGUGCCUUAGACAACGACGCUGUCCCUGGUUCCAACUCAAUAUUUAAAGGUACAGACCGUGAUGGUGAUAAUCCCUGCAACUAUUAAAAUACAUUCUCGAACUCCUGAACAACCCGAAUAUCGCUCACUGCUACCUGCCCCACAGACACCAGCAUAGAUAUCGUCACAAGGUAAGCCUCGCAGCCCUUCUCGAUCAUUUUCUCUGCCUGCACUGUUGAGAUGACGAGACUCCUUGAGGUAGGUCUCACUCCCUGAUAAACCAAUCUCCCUUCUGGUCGCUCAAAAGAAACUCUCCCACGGUGGCAGUCAAGAUGUACUCUGUAAUGAUCCAACCAAUCCAUUUCCAGAAUAACAUCAUACAACUCUACAGGGCUAAUAAUCAAAUCUGCUGGCGUCGACUCCCCUGCAAUCUGAAUAUCCACACUCUUCGCUCUCCCCAGAACCGCUAGAAACUGCCCUCCAGCAACCUUGACGGCUCCAAACUGCUCACCAGGAUCCCUACGGAUGUUGCCGUGCGAGGCACUCUCCGUGGUAAUGAAGCAAUGCGAUGCUCCAGAGUCAAACAACACAUGGGCCUCUACACCGCCCACUAAUAAGGUCCCUACACAAACCUCAUGUGCUAAGAACCCUAACAAUCAUCACAAAACAAUUAUAUCUAAAAACAGCUGAGAUAAUUCACAAAGUCUGAGAAAUCAUGCCAUUGAUCGCUCUGUUGCUGGUACUGCCUAUCUCACGCGUAGUGUAGCCCUGUGGUGCUGCUGCAAUAUGUGUUAACUGCUGCACAUUUUGCUGCACUCCCUGCUGCACUUGCGCUCCCUACUGCACCGCCGGCUGUACUACUGCCACUGUCAUUCGCUGCAGCUUAGGACAAUUCGGCCUGAGAUGUCCUUUCUCCCUGCAAUGGUAGCACUCCCUCGUCUCAGCUCGCUGCGUGCAAUCCACUAUUUUGUGGUCAACCACAAGAAAAACAUCCCGCACGACCACCCUGUCCAGCUCUAGAAGGAUGAUCUUACUUCCUCUUCUACCCCUGCGCAGGCUUGGCACCCUUGCUAGGUGCCAGCUUCUGCUGAGUCUUCUUCUGUUGUACCGCUGGACUCACUGCCACCACCUGCCUCUGAAGGUCCUCCUCUAUCUCAGCAGCUGUCUCCACCAGUGCCGCCUUCGUGGCGUACUGUGACACUCUACACCGCACCCUCAAAUCCGGUCGAAGUCCCCUUAAGAACCUCUUCAUCUAGGCCUGGUCAUCCUCCAUGCUUCGACCCGCAUACACCAAAAGUCGGUUAAACUCCCGGUCAUACUCCCGAACCGAUCGCUCAUACUAUGUCAGCUCCAGAAAACGCACCUCCAUACGGUCGAGCGCCUCCUGUGGAAAGUACUUGGCAUUAAACUCAGCCACGAAAUUUGCCCAAGACAUAUCCGCCUGCCUCCUCCUGGCAGUCACACUCCGCCACCACAAAUGUGCAUCUCCUUCUUAAAAAUGCACUGCUUGAACUGAAGUUCCGCUCAACCCGCGACCUCCAACUAUCGGCCUCCUCAGGACUAGUACCACCAGAAAAAUACUUGGUACUAAUCCUCUGCAACUGCUCCAUCAUCCUCAAAUAAGAUGGAAUCUCCUCAGCAACCGCAGCCCACUGCUGCACCUCUGCUACUCGUGGUGCAACUGGAGCCUACACUGGUACCACACCUGGUAACCGCUCCAACAACUGCCUCAGCAGGCCCGCCAAACCAACCUCUGGAACCUAGGCUCCUCCGGCUGUGGCGCCCAUCAUUCCUGGGUCCUCAGCACCAACGGCAUGCACACCCUAACCGGAUUCCAAUAACAA